rnacentral:siRNA from 1 species
ACCCAUGUGGUCGAGUGAGAGGU